GCCGGGUGUGGUGGCGUGUGCCUGUAGUCCCAGCUACUCGGGAAGCUGAGGUGGGAGGAUCGCUUGAGCCAAGGAGUUCUGGGCUGAAGUGCCAGGUGUCUGCACUAAGUUCGGCAUCAAUAUGGUGACCUCCCGGGAGCGGGGGACCACCAGGUUGCCUUAGGAGGGGUGAACCGGCCCAGGUCGGAAACGGAGCAGGUCAAAACUCCCGUGCUGAUCAGUAGUGGGAUCGUGCCUGUGAAUAGCCACUGCACUCCAGCCUGGACAGUAUAGUGAGACCCUGUCUCUA
rfam:Cavia porcellus supercont2_71 genomic scaffold, whole genome shotgun sequence.